UACGUAGGGUGCAAGCGUUGUCCGGAAUUAUUGGGCGUAAAGAGCUCGUAGGCGGUUUGUCGCGUCUGCUGUGAAAAUCCAGGGCUUAACCCUGGACCUGCAGUGGGUACGGGCAGACUAGAGUGCGGUAGGGGAGACUGGAAUUCCUGGUGUAGCGGUGAAAUGCGCAGAUAUCAGGAGGAACACCGGUGGCGAAGGCGGGUCUCUGGGCCGUAACUGACGCUGAGGAGCGAAAGCAUGGGGAGCGAACAGG
rnacentral:rRNA from 1 species